AAAGGACUUUCUUGAGGGAUCCACUGGCCAUGAAUUCUGUCACAGUUGCUAAUGUCCCCCCAGGCCCAUUAUUCACAAUCCCGUAGAAUGCCAGCACAUUAGGGUGGUGAAGUUUUGAGAGGAUGGCUGCUUCUCUCCAAAACUCCGCAAUCUGCAUAAUAAAAUUAUUGUUUUAUGAUGAGCAAAGCCUAGUUCACUAGAUUCUGAGAGACUGAUCUUGUGGUAUUCUACUAUUAACUGCUGAGUCUCCAUUGUGAAUUUGUGAUUGCAGCUCCAAUAUGUCAUGUGAUUUUAACUAACCAGUUUAUCUGUAUCUGAUGAUGGAUACAUGAAGCAGCUAUUCUUUAUCCGUUUGAUGGCAACAUCAGUUCCCCUCCAUUUUCCAUGAAAGACAGUUCCGAAUGCACCAGAGCCCAUCUCCUGCAGAUCUUCGAGGAAGGGAUGGUUUAUUUUCACUGGUUUCACGUACCUGCCAUCAGAGGAAAUGCAAAGACUGUCAUAAAAAAUGCUUUCAGAGUUGCAUCUCACGAGUACUUACGUGGAGCUGAUGAGAUGUACCUCAAGUUCUGAGAUUGGCGAUGCAAAACUUUCUAUAACUUCUACCGAUGAAGCUCCAACUUGCAUAUGGUUGCCAUUGCCUCCAAGUGAAGUAGACCUAAAAAUUUGUGCAUCCCGUUGUACGCUACUGGGAGAAGGUUGUUGUUUGUCCCUUGAAGAUUGUACAGGACCAUUUUUCUGCAGCUCAGAUGACUGGGUUGGUGCUGGCCGCUCUGUCUGGUUAUGCAACUGAUCUGUAUCGGAAUAAGGAAUGGUGUCUCUUUGGGAGCUAUACCUUCUUGUAUCUAUGCUUUCAUCAGAGCUCAGGCAUUUGUGCGCUGGUUUUUGAUAAUCUCCUGAAGGAGAUGCAAACAUUUCAUAUACAGCUCUUCCAACAGGCUCUUCUGUCACCGACUUUUCAAAAUCAGUUGAAUUAUUGGACUGGAUAAAUUGGAUGGUUAUCUCAGUCUGUUCUCUCAGGAACUUAUUGACUGGACUGGUAUGUUGUGUUGGGCUGCUGUAGUUUGAACUCAGUGAUGGAAUCCUCAAACUGUUCUCGGCUGAUGUUCAGGAAUUCUCCUUGGUGUGACAUUACUACCAUUUCGCUCCCACUGAGAUGGAUAUGCGAACUCCAAUGGCAUAGAUGAAGCAGGAUUAAUAUUUCUUGACUUUCUGGCAGGAUAAGAGCUCUCCUUGCCUUCAUCACUCCGUAUGACAGAGUCUUGAUUGGUCAUUUGUUCCAUGACUACGGGAGGAAUUUUAUGCAGGGGGAUCCUGGAUGCCUUUGGUGGAACUGUAACAGUAUUUUGUGAACGGUUGCUCCUAAUGCAUGAUGAAGCUUCUUCAGUCCUGCCUAUCAAUGAUCCUUCAUCGUCAAUAUCAAACAUCAGCUGAUCCAGAUCACUGGCUGAUGUACUCCCAGGACCUUGUGCACUUAAUUUCUCACCUGGUCCAGUGUAUCCAUAUCCAUUUAUUAGAGCAAUGUAUUUUGCUUCAGUAUCUUCAUCUGAUGAGCUCCCUACCACAAAAUGUACAUGGUGCUCAUCAUCUUCAUCUGUAAAUAGGUACAUAGCUGGCCUUUCUUUGCUUUCUUCUAGUACAAUGCACUCAUCAAUCAUAUGGUGAACAUCAUCAUCGGAGGCAACAGAGAUAAGCACAUUCACUUGUUCCCCUGGCAAGUGAUACUUGACUAUGUGAGCUUGCCUGAUGAGUUUGGUUGUCUUGCUGAUCAGUCCUUGCCAUGAAAUUCCCCGACUGAUCUGAAUCAGAUGCUUCUCACCACCAACAUAUCGAAGCUUGCCAUCUAUUGGCCUUGGUAGGAAUCUGCCACCAAAGUUGCAAAGGAACUUCAUUCUAGUUGAUCCAGAGUCAUAUAUCUCUUGUGGGUUCCUCUUAUUUGAUCCUUGACUUUUUAUUUCACUGAAUGGAGGAAACGCCAACAGCUUCUUUGAUGGUUUAUCUCCAGAAAUAUUAGCUUCUUCUCCCCAAGGAGGGAAGCUGGUGUUGAUGGUCCUGUCAUCACAGAUGAUUGGAACCAAAGGCUUCCUUAUAUUUGCCCUAUCUUGCAUGAAUCCAAGAGCAAACUCUUCGCCAGUUCGGAAGGAGUAAUUCAGCAACUGUGUCUGCCCAGUCGUAACGAAAAAUACUGGAGGCCUAGGGCUGGUAUUUGGGGAACUUGUUGGCAAAGCUUCUGAGAAUCUUAGAUGUGCAGCUUCAGGACCUCCAGAUCCAAUUGUCUCUAAAUUGCCUGGAGAAUAUACAAUGUUCUUUGACAUUACCUCUCAGGUGAAAACCACACAUGCUGUUGCAAAGGAAAUAGGAAGGUAAAGAAGAAGAUAGGUGCUAACCCUCACGACCUCCAGAUGAAGGCUGAGACAGAUGAAGGCUGAGACGACUCGUCAAAGCUUAAGAGCUGGUAUGUACCAUCUACCUUACCUCUGUGAUGCUUGAGAUAUUGUUAUAUAUAGAUGGGUUAGGUUGAUUUAGAAUAAUACUAGGAGAUUUCAAGAUGGCUGGAUUGGAGUUGGGGCAAUGGGGCCUAAACCGAGUCAUCUGUGACGCAGUUAAUUGUUUUUGUCCAGACUUCAAAUUGAAUGACAGCAAUGGGCUAAAUAGUUUUAAUCAGGGCUGCUGCUGGUUGAACAUUUUUUUAGAUAUUAUUAGGUUAUACACUUCACAGGCAGACUAGCAGGUCAAUGGUUGUUAAUAUGGAACUGGAGUGAAGUGUAGUGUUUAUUUUCAAAAAAAAAAGAGGGAGAGAAGUGUAGUGUGUAGUAUUGUGACACGUCGAUCAGCUUUAAAGAUAUGCACAUCAAUAUUCUCCAUCCAUGUAAUUAAUAUGUAAUAACGAAUAAAGGAACUCAGUUGCCAGAUUAUCUUUCGAUUUUGCAUCUGUAAGUGUAACUGAAAGUGAAACAUUUAUAUGACAUGAACAGUAAGGUUGUAGUCAACUGUCAUGCAAUGCAGUUUUGCACACAUAAAAAAAAAUAACGCAAUGCACAGCAAACUCAAUUCUAUAAACCUCGACUGGAGAUUACUUGGGGCAAGGGAAUGCCUUCUGAAACUCCCAUUUGGCCAUUUGUCACUAUCAGAUACUGACUUAGACAUAGAUACUGUGGCUCAUACACUAUAUAUGUGCAGCACUGCUGCAUCAUAUUGAGUUCUAUAGUGCCAUUUAUAGCCCAACUGGACUAUUCUUUUAUCUUGAAAUGUAUUGUUUUUUGCUGUCAGGAGGUAAGUGUCUUUCAUACGCAAACUGGACCCAGUAGGUGCAACUUGAUUUAGUCACACAUUGGUCCCGCCAUUUGCGUACUCUUAGUUAUUUUAAGUUGACCUGCGACUUGUUGCCUGAAGAUAUUUUGAUUCACUUGCCAUCAGAUGAUACUGAAUCUUCUUUUCCCCUUCGUGGUUUUUUAUCUAUCCACCUGCAGAUGAGAACUCCGUAAGUAGUUUUUGCAUUGAUUUCAUUGGUAAAGAGGUAAGGUUUUCCUUAAUUUUUUGGUAUGCUAACUAAAAAGGCCUGCUUGCGUUUUGCUUGCCUAGGUACUAUUGUUACGGAAGGGUUAUAAGGGCGCGCUUGGUUGAUCGGCACGUCAGUUGACAGUACGUGGAAGCUCAGGUCGAAUGAUCAAACUGUACUGAACCGCAGACGGGAUGAAAAAUUCGUGUACUGUUUUCCUGGAUUGAACAAUGCAAGGGAUUUGUCACCCAAUCUUUUCCCAUGAUUUCUGCAAGAAGACAUGACCAGCCGGCAUGCAGAUGUUGACACUGAUAUCCCUUGUACUCUGUAUUCUGAAGAUGGAGAGGGCCCAUGACGCAGGUUGCUAGCUAGGAGUCCAACCUAGGGUGGUGUAAAGGAUCUAAAUUUUUAGUCUAGAUAAUCUAGGGGCUGGACUUUAAGAGAGUCGGGCUCUAAUUUUAUGCAAUUUUGAGUUAAAAAAAUUAAGGGUCAAGUUGGAUGGUGAAGAAAAUAUUAGGAAUCAUGGCUAUUACCGCCCCU